UUCCUACGGGGGGCAGCAGUGGGGAAUAUUGCACAAUGGGGGAAACCCUGAUGCAGCGACGCCGCGUGAGUGAAGAAGUAAUUCGUUAUGUAAAGCUCUAUCAGCAGGGAAGAAAAUGACGGUACCUGAGUAAGAAGCCCCGGCUAACUACGUGCCAGCAGCCGCGGUAAUACGUAGGGGGCAAGCGUUAUCCGGAUUCACUGGGUGUAAAGGGAGCGUAGACGGCCAUGCAAGCCAGGGGUGAAAGCCCGGGGCCCAACCCCGGGACUGCCCUUGGAACUGCAUGGCUGGAGUGCGGGAGGGGG
rnacentral:rRNA from 1 species